ACUCAAGGCCAAAGUCUCAGGGACUCCUCCAGACUCAAUAGAACUGACUGAAUUCUUCAAAAGAGCACAGUGCCCAAGGCAAAACGGUCUUACUGGUUUAUUACUAGACCAUGGUUUGACUCAAAGGUGACUUUUAGAAACCAGUUUCUUCAAGGCUUAAGAUUCGAAAGGACAUCUAAGGACAAAUGGCUUUGGAAGAAUAAAUGAGGAAUUCUGCUGGCAUACCCUGUCUCCUUCAUAUCCACAAUAAAUUUUACUGCUUGAAUCCAGUUCAAAUGCUAAUUCAUCCUUGGAGCCUUACCUUACACACUCCAUCAAGUUGAACAGCCCUCCUACUUGUCUGAGCCUAUCUUUGACUCUUAGCAUUGCUUGUGUCUACAUCUCAUCUUCUCCAUAGACUGUAAAUUCAU